CAUGUCUUUUUGAUUAAAAUAUAAAGUCUAGUCUGCUCAAUGAAUAAAAAUUUAAAUAGCUGCAGUAUUUUGACUGUACAAAGGUAGCAUAAUAAAUAGUUUUUUAAUUGAAAGCUGGAAUGAAGGAUUGGACGAGAAAAUUACUGUCUCAAUUUAAUUAUUAUUGAAUUUAACUUUUUAGUUAAAAGGCUAAAAUGAAUUUAAAAGACGAGAAGACCCUAUAGAGUUUAAUAAUUAUUGUUUUUUAAUUUAUUUAGAAUUAUUAAUAAUUAAAUUAAUUAUAAUUAUUUGGUUGGGGUGAUUGGAAAAUUUAUAAAACUUUUCUAUUUUUAAAAUUAUUUAUUUAUAAAUUGAUUUUCUAUGGAUUUUUAAAUUUAAAAUAAAUUACCUUAGGGAUAACAGCGUAAUAUAUAUUUUAAGUUCUUAUUUAAAUAUUUGAUUGCGACCUCGAUGUUGGAUUAAAAUUUAUUAUU
rnacentral:rRNA from 1 species